rnacentral:rRNA from 1 species
UACGAAGGGGGCUAGCGUUGUUCGGAAUUACUGGGCGUAAAGCGCACGUAGGCGGAUAUUUAAGUCAGGGGUGAAAUCCCGGGGCUCAACCCCGGAACUGCCUUUGAUACUGGGUAUCUCGAGUCCGAGAGAGGUGAGUGGAAUUCCGAGUGUAGAGGUGAAAUUCGUAGAUUAUUCGGAGGAACACCAGUGGCGAAGGCGGCUCACUGGCUCGAUACUGACGCUGAGGUGCGAAAGCGUGGGGAGCAAACAGG